AGGGUGGCCUCCUGGGAGGCAGAGGACAGUCGCUGGGCUCAGGGGGCCCCUUGCAGGUGGACCCACAGGACUUGACUAACUACGUGCUGGCAGGAAGACAGGAAGGCAGUCGCAGGAAAUUUCUUGGACUUUGUACGGGACGUGGUGACAGCCUGAACGGAGAAUGGACGGCUGGGAACAAGAGGAAGGAGACUUCCUGGGAAGAAAAGCCUCCGAAUUGGCCACGCUAAGCUUGAGAUGACAGUGGACAGGCAAUAUCGAAAUCAAAAUGAAACAAAACACCUGCAACGUCUCAUUCCAGUCAUGGUUUUACCUUCAGACUCUCAAAUACCGCUCUCUCAGGGCCGUUGUUGCUAAAUACCUAUUCCAAUGGCUGUUUUCACACCCGCUGCCUCUUACUAUCAGGACCGUCCUUCGCUCCAAGCCUUGAUGGGUUUCUCCAUCUCUAGUUGUGUCUCUGUACCUUCAGACCCUCAGACAAAGGCAGCUGAUGCUCCAUGAUUCCCCAAGGCCACGCGUGUCUUAAUGAGGACCCGGAAGGAGCAUCUGAAGAGUCAGACGUGUAAGUGGAAACUUACCUGGACCAAUGAAUACCUUGUGUUUGCCUUUGGCACAAAUUUACAUGGACUUAUGCUUUUGCCAUUUGGCCUACUUGAAUUAAUCCACAGAUGUCAAACCAAAUUAAAAAAUUUCCUGUAUGAUUCUUAUUAAAAAAUAUAAAAUGCUAGAUUCAGAAUGUUUGGAAAGAUCUGAGUACUCCCUAGACAGUGAGUUCCUGAGAACUUGGAGAUAUAGCCUAAAGAAAAGUGAGUCUUUCCUUCUUUCUAAGUUUUAGAAUGGCUACAAUCAAUUCUAACUGCACUUAGUUACCUGGAAAACUUGAAUUACUUGCUCCACUUUAAUUCAUGCAAAGUCUUCAACAAUUAAUUUGCCUUUUGAUUAGUAGCAUUAUUAUUAAUUUUUAGAGCCUGCCCUUAUUUACUAUUGGCUCUAUGCUUCUCUGACAUUGGGAAAAUAUAUUGACCAGAUCACAUUUAAAAAC
rnacentral:lncRNA from 1 species